rnacentral:rRNA from 1 species
CCUACGGGAGGCAGCAGUGGGGGAUAUUGCACAAUGGGGGGAACCCUGAUGCAGCGACGCCGCGUGGGUGAAGAAGCGCCUCGGCGCGUAAAGCCCUGUCAGCAGGGAAGAAAAUGCCGGUACCUGAAGAAGAAGCCCCGGCUAACUACGGGACAGCAGCCGCGGUAAUACGUAGGGGGCCAGCGUUAUCCGGAUUUACUGGGUGUAACGGGGGCGCAGACGGCGUUGCAAGCCAGGAGUGAAAGCACGGGGCCCAACCCCGGGACUGCUCUUGAAACUGCGUGGCUGGAGUGCAGGAGGGGCAGGCGGAAUGCCUGGUGUAGCGGUGAAAUGCGUAGAUAUCAGGAGGAACACCGGUGGCGAAGGCGGCCUGCUGGACUGCAACUGACGUUGAGGCCCGAAAGCGUGGGGAGCAAACAGGAUUAGAUACCCCUGUAGUC